rnacentral:snRNA from 1 species
UGAGACACCAUCUCAAAAAAAAAAAAAAAAUACAGAAAAGAUUAGUAUGGCCCCUGUCCAAGGAUAACACACAAAUGUGUAAAGUAUUCCAUAGUUUU